UACGUAGGGACCGAGCGUUGUCCGGAUUCAUUGGGCGUAAAGGGUGCGUAGGCGGCGCGGUAAGUCGGGUGUGAAAUCUCGGGGCUUAACUCCGAAACUGCAUUCGAUACUGCCGUGCUUGAGGACUGGAGAGGAGACUGGAAUUACGGUGUAGCGGUGAAAUGCGUAGAUAUCGUAAGGAAGACCAGUGGCGAAGGCGGGUCUCUGGACAGUUCCUGACGCUGAGGCACGAAGGUCAGGGGAGCAAACGGG
rnacentral:rRNA from 1 species